rnacentral:sRNA from 1 species
UCUCGCUCAAUCAGAAGGUGGCAGAAACUAUCAUAACCUUCCAUCACCGCAGCAGACAAUGGAAACUCAGCCAUCAGCAGAACGCAUGGAAAAGCAACAGACGCGAGAAACUUCCGACUAAAUAUAUAGAUAUAGUUUGCGUGUCACAUGCAAGGCCCCAAGUGGGGUAGUGAAGGGAUCUGUCGCUGGCUGGUUGGAGCGGAGAAAUAUAAUAUCAAGGGGGGAAGACGACGAAGCCGGCGUGUCUGAGGCAUGGAGUAACCGCUAAUUGGGCUUUAUUGGCGGUAAAUGUCAAGUGACGGCAUUGGAUGACACUUUCCACCAUCCCACUCCAAUAAUUUUCACUCCUUCGGUGGAACACGCCCCUGCUCAAAAAGCAACAACCACUUGAUUAUGGCUUUCGACAGAUAACAGGAGGUGAAUAUUGGGGACGUAGAAGCAAUUUAUCGUUGUCCAUGGUUACG